UGGGGAAUCUUGGACAAUGGGCGCAAGCCUGAUCCAGCCAUGCCGCGUGUGUGAAGAAGGUCUUCGGAUUGUAAAGCACUUUAAGUUGGGAGGAAGGGCAGUUACCUAAUACGUGAUUGUUUUGACGUUACCGACAGAAUAAGCACCGGCUAACUCUGUGCCAGCAGCCGCGGUAAUACAGAGGGUGCAAGCGUUAAUCGGAAUUACUGGGCGUAAAGCGCGCGUAGGUGGUUAGUUAAGUUGGAUGUGAAAUCCCCGGGCUCAACCUGGGAACUGCAUUCAAAACUGACUGACUAGAGUAUGGUAGAGGGUGGUGGAAUUUCCUGUGUAGCGGUGAAAUGCGUAGAUAUAGGAAGGAACACCAGUGGCGAAGGCGACCACCUGGACUGAUACUGACACUGAGGUGCGAAAGCGUGGGGAGCAAACAGGAUUAGAUACCCACGUAGUCCCUGAGCGGGCUGGCAAGGCGCAU
rnacentral:rRNA from 1 species